UACGAAGGGGGCUAGCGUUGCUCGGAAUUACUGGGCGUAAAGGGCGCGUAGGCGGACAGUUUAGUCAGAGGUGAAAGCCCAGGGCUCAACCUUGGAAUAGCCUUUGAUACUGGCUGUCUUGAGUUCGGGAGAGGUGAGUGGAAUGCCGAGUGUAGAGGUGAAAUUCGUAGAUAUUCGGCGGAACACCAGUGGCGAAGGCGACUCACUGGCCCGAUACUGACGCUGAGGCGCGAAAGCGUGGGAGCAAACAGG
rnacentral:rRNA from 1 species